rnacentral:rRNA from 1 species
UACGUAUGGUGCAAGCGUUAUCCGGAUUUACUGGGUGUAAAGGGUGCGUAGGUGGCAUAUCAAGUCAGAUGUGAAAACUUAGGGCUCAACCCCGAGACUGCAUUUGAAACUGAUAAGCUGGAGUACAGGAGAGGAAAGCAGAAUUCCUAGUGUAGCGGUGAAAUGCGUAGAUAUUAGGAGGAAUACCGGUGGCGAAGGCGGCUUUCUGGACUGUUACUGACACUGAGGCACGAAAGCGUGGGGAGCAAAC